rnacentral:rRNA from 1 species
GACGAAGGGGGCUAGCGUUGUUCGGAAUUACUGGGCGUAAAGCGUGUGUAGGUGGUUGUCAUAGUCAGGCGUGGAAGCCUUGAGCUCAACUCAAGAAAUGCGCUUGAUACUGGGCAGCUAGAGGACCGGAGAGGAUAGUGGAAUUCCCAGUGUAGUGGUGAAAUACGUAGAGAUUGGGAAGAACACCAGUGGCGAAGGCGGCUAUCUGGACGGUUUCUGACACUAAGACACGAAAGCGUGGGGAGCAAACAGG